rnacentral:rRNA from 1 species
UACAUGGGGUGCAAACGUUGCUCGGAAUUAUUGGGCGUAAAGCGCACGUAGGCGGUUUGUUAAGUCGGAUGUGAAAUCCCUCGGCUCAACUGAGGAAGUGCAUCCGAAACUGGCAGGCUUGAGUACUAAAGAGGGUCGCGGAAUUCCCGGUGUAGAGGUGAAAUUCGUAGAUAUCGGGAGGAACACCGGUGGCGAAGGCGGCGACCUGGGUAGAUACUGACGCUGAGGUGCGAAAGUGUGGGGAGCGAACAGG